AAGUGCUUGCUUGGAUAUACUAAAAUACUAAAAUUGGAACGGUACAGUGAAGAUUAGCAUGGCCCCAGCACAAGGAUGACACACACGUUUAUGAAGCGUUCCAUAUUUUU